ACUCCUGCGGGAGGCAGCAGUGGGGAAUUUUGGACAAUGGGCGAAAGCCUGAUCCAGCCAUGCCGCGUGCAGGAUGAAGGCCUUCGGGUUGUAAACUGCUUUUGUACGGAACGAAACGGCCUUUUCUAAUAAAGAGGGCUAAUGACGGUACCGUAAGAAUAAGCACCGGCUAACUACGUGCCAGCAGCCGCGGUAAUACGUAGGGUGCAAGCGUUAAUCGGAAUUACUGGGCGUAAAGCGUGCGCAGGCGGUUAUGUAAGACAGUUGUGAAAUCCCCGGGCUCAACCUGGGAACUGCAUCUGUGACUGCAUAGCUAGAGUACGGUAGAGGGGGAUGGAAUUCCGCGUGUAGCAGUGAAAUGCGUAGAUAUGCGGAGGAACACCGAUGGCGAAGGCAAUCCCCUGGACCUGUACUGACGCUCAUGCACGAAAGCGUGGGGAGCAAACAGGAUUAGAUACCCUAGUAGUCCC
rnacentral:rRNA from 1 species